AGGGGAUACAUACCUUCCUUGCUUUUGAAACUUUAUGAGGAGAAUGAGAUGCUCUUCUUUUUCUUUUCUCUCAGGUGGGUAUCUUGCACCCCUAAUUCUACUGUCGGACACUUGUCUAUUUUUACCUCUCGUCUCACUUUUUCUUUUCUUUCGAGGUUCCGAGCACUUGCUCCUUUUUAUUUCCUCGUAUUAUUCUUCUCUCUCUUUUUUUUAGAGCAUUCAUCUCUUGAGAUAAUAUAGCAAGUGGUAGUAACAAGAUAACUUGAGCAUUUAUUUCACAAGGGGAAAACAGAAAUAUUUUUGGUUAUUCUCUCCCGGAUUAGGAGUGGAAUAUUUUUAGGUGGUUCUGGAGAUGGAAAUGAGUGGAUGUAUGUGGAUGGUACUUCCGGAGUAGAAGUAGCAUAUAUGAGUGAACGUGCAAGUGAAAUCUUGAUUUAACCACAUGACAAGCUCCUAAGGGUCUACACAGCUUGACCAAACUCAAUGCUCAUAAGCAGUAAAUAGUAAAUGUGUGGCUCAAAGUCUAGCAAGCAUGUAUAUAUGGCUGUGGU
rnacentral:lncRNA from 1 species